CCUACGGGAGGCUGCAGUGAGGAAUAUUGGUCAAUGGACGCAAGUCUGAACCAGCCAUGCAGCGUGAAGGAUGACUGCUCUAUGAGUUGUAAACUGCUUUUGUACGAGAGUAAACCCCGAUACGUGUAUCGGGUUGAAAGUACCGUACGAAUAAGGAUCGGCUAACUCCGUGCCAGCAGCCGCGGUAAUACGGAGGAUCCGAGCGUUAUCCGGAUUUAUUGGGUUUAAAGGGUGCGUAGGCGGUUGCAUAAGUUAGAGGUGAAAUGUCGGGGCUCAACCCCGAAACUGCCGCUGAUACUGUGUGACUAGAGUACAGCUGCGGUAGGCGGAAUGUGUGGUGUAGCGGUGAAAUGCUUAGAGAUCACACAGAACACCGAUUGCGAAGGCAGCUUACCAGACUAUAACUGACGUUGAGGCACGAAAGCGUGGGUAGCAAACAGGAUUAGAUACCCGAGUAGUC
rnacentral:rRNA from 1 species